rnacentral:lncRNA from 1 species
GUGGUGGGAUGGGAGCUGCAGCAGGACGUAGUACUCGCGCACCUGGAGCUAAUGCUGCCGUGAGACCUCUGCCUGCAUUGAAAGAGAAUGUCAAGAGGGUUAUGUUCUAUUGCUGAGGAUGCUUGAAGUUGGCUGAAGAAUUUGGUUAUGCUUUGAAUUAUGAAAUGUUUUGAAUUGAAUUAUGCUUUGAAUUAUGAAGUGUUUUGAAUUAAGUUUGUUUGGAUUACUGUUGAAUUUGAAACAAUGUUUGAAUUUAUUAACAAGUAUGUUUGGAUUUUAAUUUUGAUGGUAAUGUUACUAUCAAUGUCGUUGUAUGGUGCUCCAUCCAGUAGUAUCAUUUACUGAAUGUCAUUUAUUAUCAUCUGUUAUUGUCAG